GACGAACGCUGGCGGCGUGCUUAACACAUGCAAGUCGAACGGAAAGGCCCUGCUUUUGUGGGGUGCUCGAGUGGCGAACGGGUGAGUAACACGUGAGUAACCUGCCCUUGACUUUGGGAUAACUUCAGGAAACUGGGGCUAAUACCGGAUAGGAGCUCCUGCUGCAUGGUGGGGGUUGGAAAGUUUCGGCGGUUGGGGAUGGACUCGCGGCUUAUCAGCUUGUUGGUGGGGUAGUGGCUUACCAAGGCUUUGACGGGUAGCCGGCCUGAGAGGGUGACCGGCCACAUUGGGACUGAGAUACGGCCCAGACUCCUACGGGAGGCAGCAGUGGGGAAUAUUGCACAAUGGGCGGAAGCCUGAUGCAGCAACGCCGCGUGCGGGAUGACGGCCUUCGGGUUGUAAACCGCCUUCGCCUGUGACGAAGCGUGAGUGAUGGUAAUGGGUAAAGAAGCACCGGCUAACUACGUG
rnacentral:rRNA from 1 species